rnacentral:lncRNA from 1 species
CACCACAUAAUGCAUAUAUGGAGGUCCUUUGUUGGCUGGCUGAAACGGUGUAUACUGCGCACUUUUUUGUUCUGAGAUAUUUGAGUAAACCAAUAAAAGGAGAACAUUUUGCUUCUCCGAGUUUGUGAACUGAUAGGGAGAUAAUCUCAGAAGUAGUUCGAAGAAUGGCAAAGCGAGCCUUUGAGUGCCAUGCGCUUCCUCUGCUCGAUCAUUCACCAAUGUCUAUGCUUUAAGAUGGUGCUUACCUUUCUGGUUCAGUUGUAUUCUCUGCCAACAUAAGAGUCAAGACUGAUUACACAGGACUGAAGGUGUAUCCAUGGAAAGUCCCAUUCAGCACUCUGUUUUGCCAAUUGCAUCCUUCUCUAUGGUAAAUAGAUUAGCCCGCCUGCAGAUCGCUUUCACAUCUGUCAUGGCCAUCUUCAUUAGCCAAACUCUCCAAUUAGAAAAAGAUGAGCCUCACAAAUAGGGUUUAGAAGGAACAUGUUUCUUACUCUGUCUCUGAGGAAAAAUAAGGUUCAGGUCUUCACUACAGACUCAAGUUAUUAAUUCAGGUUUGCAGUUCAGACACAAGUUAUUAAUUGAGGUUUUCACAACGACAACUAUCAGAUUAAUAGGGUUCCAGAGCAAAAACGACCAAAGAAAUUUACACAGGAAUAGUAGCACUCAUGAUACAAAUAAUAAAAUGAAAAGGGAUUAAUGCGUCAUUGAUAUAUAGCAGCAACUUCCCAUGGACCCAGAUUUAUUGAGAUAUAGCACCACUUGUGGCAAAAUAAAAUAACUGCAACUUAAUAUGGAAGCGGUGGACCCAAAUGAUUUCCCCUGUUUUAUCAUGCAACUGUUGCCAUGGAUUCGGAUUUCAAAGUUUCAUAUUUAUUUAUUUAUUUAUUUAUUUGGCAGAGGUGAAGUGGUGAUUCCAGCGGGUACCAACUACAAUUCCAGAUGCAUGAUGAUCCAUCCUACCAUGCAAAUGAUUAGAGUAUAUAUAUAUAUAUAUAUAUAUAUAUAUAUGCAAGUUGUGUUGUACUUUGUUGAGACCUGAUUUUAAGUUUUUAAUAUAUG